AUCACUAAGCGGAGGAAAAGAAACUAACCAGGAUUCCCUCAGUAACGGCGAGUGAAGCGGGAAGAGCCCAGCACCGAAUCCCACGGUCAUACGGCCGUCGGGAACUGUGGUGUUUAGGACGGCCGCUGGCGAGACGUUCGGGUGCCCAAGUCCUCCUGAUCGGGGCCCUUUGCCCAUAGCGGGUGUUAGGCCUUUACUGGCAACCGACGUCACGGCUUUGGACGUCCUUGGAGUCGGGUUGUUUGGGAAUGCAGCCCAAAGUGGGUGGUAAACUCCAUCUAAGGCUAAAUACUGACACGAGUCCGAUAGCGGACAAGUACCGUGAGGGAAAGUUGAAAA
rnacentral:rRNA from 1 species